rnacentral:rRNA from 1 species
CUUAAGCAUAUCAAUAAGCGGAGGAAAAGAAACCAACCGGGAUUACCUCAGUAACGGCGAGUGAAGCGGUACCAGCUCAAAUUUGAAAUCUGGCUCCUCUGGAGUCCGAGUUGUAAUUUGUAGAAGAUGCUUUGGGUUGUGGGUUCGGCCUAAGUUCCUUGGAACAGGACGUCAUAGAGGGUGAGAAUCCCGUAUGUGGCCGAGGCCCGCGCCUAUGUAAAGCUCUUUCAACGAGUCGAGUUGUUUGGGAAUGCAGCUCAAAAUGGGUGGUAAAUUUCAUCUAAAGCUAAAUAUGGGCCAGAGACCGAUAGCGCACAAGUAGAGUGAUCGAAAGAUGAAAAGCACUUUGGAAAGAGAGUUAAACAGUACGUGAAAUUGUUGAAAGGGAAGCGCUUGCACCCAGACUUGGGCGCUGCUGAUCACCUUGCGGUCUCCGCGAGUGCACUCGACAGCGCACAGGCCAGCAUCGGUUCGGGUGGCUGGAUAAAGGCCGUAGGAACGUAGCUCCCUUCGGGGAGUGUUAUAGCCUACGGUGCCAUGCAGCCCAGCCGGACCGAGGACCGCGCCUUCGGGCUAGGAUGCUGGCGUAAUGGGUGUAAGCGACCCGUCUUGAAAAGGAAA